rnacentral:misc_RNA from 1 species
AAAAUUCAGGACCUCGUGUUGGUUCAGACAUUUUGACCUUCUUCAUGUUUGUGAUAGCGGGCUUAAUACAACUGGAAAAUGGGUAGUAAGGAAAAAAAAGAAGCAAAUUUAUCCAAUCUAGUCACGUGAGCAUGAACCGGAAGCCAGAUAUUGGCGCGUAAUCAGUAAGUCGUCAUCAUUCUGGACCGUCUGACGUUAUCGAGCGUUAUUAAUGGCGAAUUAUGCCAUUAUCGACAAUGUUUUAUCAUUGGCCGGUAGAUUAAUGCAAAGUGUGUGAGGUUUUAUUACACUUAAAUCUAGUGAUUUGGCCGAGUGAUCAUUCAAAAUGGCGACAGAGGCGAUUGACUUGUCUGGGAAGACAUUCAAUUUUUCCACAUUUGUCGCACUGUGUGGUAAAAUAUAAUCAAACAUGAAAGAAACGAUUAAUGGUUGUGAAAUGAAAAGAACUCCCACCGGCUAUAUGUUAUACCGGCCAAUUACAACGGUUACACGCUGUCGGAAUUGGCGACUUCGGCAAAAAUCGAGAGAUUUACCUUCCAUUAUCAUCUUAUUGUUCUGUAUCAUCAUAUUUUAUUCCAAAUAGAAGCAUAAUCAUCGUAUGACAGUGAUGUAGCCGGCAUUGCUAUUGAUAAUCAGUGUUGUAUAAAUCGUCCUAUUCUCUUAGUCGACAACGUGAACUGAACAAUACUUUAACUCUUUUUUGUUCUUGUAUGUUUAACUUAUUUCGUUAUAUCUACUUAUUUUUAUUGUAUUGAUACAUAAAAUUGUUAUAACU